UCCCUGACUCACUUCAGGGCUCCCGGCUGGUUUUGGAUCAGGCUGUCGCCCGCGGUGCCUAGGCUGGCGGUACUGUCACCGUGUUUCCUCUGCAUGUUCUCUAUCUGCUGGCACAUCACAGCAUGGCUGUUCUGGAGCUGCUGCCUUCUCCUGCCAGCUACCACAAAGUUGUAGCGGUUGGACCCUGGUUUCAGACUGAGACGGCAACACCAGCUUACAAUGGAUCAGGACUCUUGCGCUCCCUGCUGGUGAACAGAGGACACAGUAGAUAAAGUGAGAGGAGGUAAACUGCAGUAACUCACCUCCUGUAGUGCUGUCGAAACUGCUCCAGAGCGUAAACAGUAAACGGCCUGAUGGACUUGUGUGAAGGGAAUCCAGGAGUGGACGGCUGCUUCGCCAGAUGCCUUUUAUUGCCACAAACAUACACAAGAGCAGAUGAGUUUAGAGACAUCCUCGUGCUCUGGAGCCCCCUGAGCCUGAAGCUUCUCGUGGAUGUUCUUCCAGCGAUUUUCCAGCUGCUUCUUCACAGAGUCCAACUCCAUCCUGUUCAACUGCAGAGAGAUGGGAAG